AGGAACGUCCCGACCAUACUCCGAGAACGUCAGAAACUAAGAUCACGGAAGCGUUUUUUACAAACUGCCACCGACUACGCGAGCAAUGUUCGCUGGUGGACGUCCGUGUUUUUUACUGUGACUAAAGAAGUGCGACCAAGGCAGUCCAUCGACAUGAAUUAGAAAGCAUGGGAUAACAAAGCAGCAGCCUAUGAGCUACCGUUUAGGCUUUUGUUGGUUUUAAAGGUUCGUGGGAGAUUACGGGCGUGUAGGACCGGCGUUGGGGGUUUUCCAAAAUCCCCGCGUCUCCUCCUGGCAUCGGAAACGGUGCUCGCGGGGCCUGCUUCGCUCAGGAAUGAAGGAGGGUUGCUCGGGGGAAAACGUACUUGGGCGUGAGAGGUGAAAUUCUUAGACCGCCCAAAGACGAACUACAGCGAAGGCAUUUUCCAAGGAUACCUUCCUCAAUCAAGAACCAAA
rnacentral:rRNA from 1 species